rnacentral:lncRNA from 1 species
GAUGAAACCGAAAGAUAGUUAUUAAAACAAAAAUAAUAAUUCAUAAUACUCAUUACAUUGUCAAAAUCCAAAUUUAAUUAAACCAAGGUAACAGUGGAGCGUCUAAGACAUCAAAACAAAACUGAAAGGAAAGCCUCGCGAACAAGCAAGGCAUACCGACCAGAACAGAAGAAGCGGAAACACUCAACAAAGUCCCAGAAACUAAGAACCUGAAAUAAUAUUAAAAAAAUGAGGGGUGAGUUCAACCAACUCAGUGAGGGAAUAACAUUUAAUAUACAUUUCAUAUAUUUCAGAUAUUAAUAAUUUGUAAGAUGAUUUAUCUUAAUAUACAUAUACAUAUACAUAUACUUACUAAACAUAUUAUCAUAACGUAACAUAUUAUCAUAACGUAGUGGAUUACAUGUCAGAGAUCAGAUGACACCCGAAGGUGACCAGAUGACACCCGUCGGUGACCACUGUGGGAUGAUCAAUCGCCACAGGCUGAUGCCUCUCUCACCAGCUAGGUAUACAGAAUACUAUGUGCACACAGGCUAACUAUUCUCCGUUAGCAUGGAGUACUGACAAGUCCCAUAUCAAGGCAUAACAGAUAUUCACAUAAUCAUCAAAGAAACGUAUAUCAUAUCAAAUAGAAUUUACUUUAACAGAUUGCGAGUGCAAAUUCAAGAAUAAAUGAGUACUCGGAAAAUAAAGCAACAUAUAUAAAUAUUCAAGAAAUUUACUAGUUGUACUCAUUGUAUAAUCAACAUACAUAUUUAUUUAUAUUAUAUGCAUAUUAAAGAUUAUUCCACUCACCCGGAAAAUAUAGAACUAAAAGGAAUGUCAGACAAAAGACCCGGAAAUCCGAUUAAGGAUCGUUAGGAGAACCUACAAUAAAUAUAUGAAAUAUACUCAAAAAAGAUCAAACAAAAGAUCCCAAAGCAUAAAAUAAACCGGGCUUAAUCUCCCAAGUUUAGGGACUAAAACGACAAUUUUCCAAAAUAGGGACCAAAACGUAAUUUUACCAAAUUUUGAGGACCGAACUGUAAAUAUAUACCAUACUGAAAUUUAUCCAUAAUUAAUCCUCAAUUCUGUCCAGGAUAUAUCAUUAUGCUCCAAGGACCAUUCUGGAACUUUACCAAAUUUUUAGGGUCAAAUUAUACUUUUUGUCAAAUUGGAGGACCAAACUGAAAAUAUUAAUUAUACUGGAAUUUUGUCCUUAAAUCAUCCUCAGUUCUGUUCAGAACCUCAAUUUAUGCCCCAGGGACCAAUCUGUAAAAUUUCCAAAGUUCGGGGACUAAACUGCAAUUUCCAAAUUGAGGGACCAAACUGAAUUUUCGUCAUCUUCAACCUCAAACCCAGAAUUUCAACAGAUCACCUACUGUUAGUUCCAGAUUUAUACCUCAACUUCAUCAUUCAAUUCAACCAUAACUCAAAAUCAUCAUAUUUCUCUACAAUCUCUCCAAUUCAACUAAAUAAUCAAAUACCACAUCAAUCAACCCUUAAUUCAAACUAAUUCAUCAAUAACUCAAAAUUCAAAACUCUAAAAUUAAUCAAAACCGAAAUUUAAAGCUAAAGAAAACAUAUUAUACAUAUUCAAGCAUAAUCUUACCCUUUUACUUGUUUUCUUCAACCUUUCCUUUUUCUUAUUUUCCCCUCUUUUCUCUUCUUCUUCUUCUUCCUCUCUUCUCUCCUGCCGGUUCU